UUUCCGGUUGAUCCUGCCGGACCUGACUGCUAUCGGAUUGGUACUAAGCCAUGUGAGUCAUUGUAGCAAUACAAGGCAUACGGCUCAGUAACACGUAGUCAAUCUGCCCUAUGGACGUGGAUAACCUCGGGAAACUGAGAAUAAUCCGCGAUAGAUCAUAAUGCCUGGAACGGUUUAUGGUCCAAAUGAUUCGUCGCCAUAGGAUGGGACUGCGGCCUAUCAGCUUGUUGGUGAGGUAAUGGCCCACCAAGGCUAUUACAGGUACGGGCUCUGAGAGGAGAAGCCCGGAGAUGGGUACUGAGACACGGACCCAGGCCCUAUGGGGCGCAGCAGGCGAGAAACCUUUGCAAUGUGCGCAAGCACGACAAGGUUAAUCCGAGUGAUUUCUGCUGAAGAAAUCUUUUGUCAGUUCUAAAUCUACUGGUGAAUAAGGGGUGGGCAAGUCUGGUGUCAGCCGCCGCGGUAAUACCAGCACCUCGAGUGGUUAGGAGGUUUAUUGGGCCUAAAGCAUCCGUAGCCGGCUACGCAAGUCUCCGGUUAAAUCCAUCUGCUUAACAGAUGGGCUGCCGGAGAUACUACAUAGCUAGGGAGCGGGAGAGGUAGACGGUAUUCGGUGGGUAGGGGUAAAAUCCUCUGAUCCAUUGAGGACCACCAGUGGCGAAGGCGGUCUACCAGAACGCGUUCGACGGUGAGGGAUGAAAGCUGGGGGAGCAAACCGGGAUUAGAUACCCGGGUAGUCCCAGCUGUAAACAGAUGCAAACUCGGUGAUGCACUGGCUUAAGGCCAGUGCAGUGCCGCAGGGAAGCCGUUAAGUUUGCCGCCUGGGAAGUACGGUCGCAAGACUGAAACUUAAAGGAAUUGGCGGGGGAGCMCCACARGGGGUGAAGCCUGCGGUUCAAUUGGAUUCAACGCCGGAA
rnacentral:rRNA from 1 species